GCAUAGAUCUUCAUUUUCUAUUUUGAAAUUGUUGGUCAUUUAAUUGGCCGUGCCCUGUUCUAGCCUUUUCCUUUAGAUGGUCAUUGUGGCUGUUUAAAGUUGCCGCUGUUUGGCACGUUGAGUUACCCCCUUACCACAAAUGCCUUUGAACAUAGGUGAUUUUGAUUUAGGAAUAUUUGCACAUAUGGGGAUAGCUCAUGCAGAUUAGAUGCUGUAUUUGGAACCAAUGACCUGUAUUAGCUUUAAGUCCCUAUAGUACAAUAACAACUGCAG